rnacentral:tRNA from 1 species
AACCUAUUAGCUCAAAUGGGAGAGCAAUGUGCUAUGGCACAUGGAUGUAGGUUCAAAUCCUACAUAGGUUU